rnacentral:lncRNA from 1 species
AAGGAUGGCUUAAAGCAGAAAUUCUCAAACUUUAGCCUGUUUCAGAAUCACCUGAAGGGUUUGUUAAAACAGAUUCCUAGGCUCCCUCCCCAGAGUUUCUGACUUAGCACGUCGGAGGUAAAGCCUGAAAAUGUGCAUUUCUAACAAGUUUACAGUUGAUGCUGAUACUGCUGGUCCGGGGAUCACACGUUGAGAGCCCAUAGGGUAAAGAAAAGAGCCUCCACCGUCCCUUCAUUCAGGUUGCUGGGCCCAGUGGUGAGGAUGACUGACGACCAGGCGGGGGUGAGUGAACGUUUUCACGUCAACAGUUGUACAGUCCUGAGGUGAGCCAAGGAUCUGAGAUGGGAGCCGGGGGUGUGGAAUAGGUCUGUCCAAGGACCUUGGGAAAUUAGACACAGAGAGGCCAUUUGCUCUUCCGCUUCUUUGCAAGUGAUACGCGGGAGUUGUAUAGCUCCGCCUCUUCUCACGGAUGCAGCUUGUUUUGUCUGCGUGGAACAGUGUUCCUGCUCCCUUUGGGAACUGUUCUUACCCUACUCCAAUCAUACAUUUCUAGUGGGCUUAGAAACAGAGCAUUAUUAUGCUCCUGGGCCACAGAGUUGGGUGUGCGACCUAAUUCCCUUGGCAAAUAUUCCCGUGGCACGUGACUAAAGACUAGCCAAUCAGAGUUCUUUCCUGAGAAAUGCGUAAGUUUUACAAGUGGGGAGAGUUCUCAUUCAUUUUUGGUCACAGAGCUGCGAGAACGUGUUCAAGAGCUACAGUCAGCCGUAUCCUCUACCAUGUAGAAUGUCCGAGAGAAUGAAAAAGACAAAAGCUGAAGGGAAGAAGAGGAAGAGAACCAUAUCAGCAGACAGAGGUGGAAAAAAGAAGCCACGGAAAGAGGUUGGUGGUGGGAUGCUCAUGUGUGCUGUCAGGCUCUUGACGCUGCAAGGACCAGCGCCUCACUCAGGUCGCCUUCGGGAAAAGUGCAAGGACACAUGUGGUGAGACUCAAAGUGGAAAUCCACCAAAGAACUGAGUAGGUUUAGUGCCAGCUCCUGGCUUGGUCUCUCCCUCCUGACCUCUCCUCCAUGUCAUCUCUGCUCCUCAGUAUCUGUUGCAGUUUCCACUUACUCCUAUCUGAUCAAUAUUCUCCCAAUUUUCUAGUCCAAAUCCCAGGAGGUCAGCUCAUUAUACUGCUGUUCCUACUGUGCAGAGCCCUUGGUUCUGGGCUACUCGUGGGUGGCCAGCUAACCUUUCUGGAUGUGGCACCAUCUCUGGUCCUAUCAGGGUCCCUCCUGAACAAC